rnacentral:rRNA from 1 species
AUUGAACGCUGGCGGCAUGCUUUACACAUGCAAGUCGAACGGCAGCGCGGGGCAACCUGGCGGCGAGUGGCGAACGGGUGAGUAAUAUAUCGGAACGUACCCAGAAGUGGGGGAUAACGUAGCGAAAGUUACGCUAAUACCGCAUACGAUCUACGGAUGAAAGUGGGGGAUCGCAAGACCUCAUGCUUUUGGAGCGGCCG